rnacentral:rRNA from 2 species
AAAAAAAAUUGGGGCUUUUUAUAAAGGUUUUUUUCUCGCUCAGGGCGAACGCUGGCGGCGUGCCUAAUACAUGCAAGUCGAGCGAACCAAUGGGAGCUUGCUCCCUGAGGUUAGCGGCGGACGGGUGAGUAACACGUGGGCAACCUGCCUGUAAGACUGGGAUAACUCCGGGAAACCGGGGCUAAUACCGGAUAAUUCAUUUCCUCUCAUGAGGAAAUGCUGAAAGACGGUUUCGGCUGUCACUUACAGAUGGGCCCGCGGCGCAUUAGCUAGUUGGUGAGGUAACGGCUCACCAAGGCCACGAUGCGUAGCCGACCUGAGAGGGUGAUCGGCCACACUGGGACUGAGACACGGCCCAGACUCCUACGGGAGGCAGCAGUAGGGAAUCUUCCGCAAUGGACGAAAGUCUGACGGAGCAACGCCGCGUGAGCGAAGAAGGCCUUCGGGUCGUAAAGCUCUGUUGUUAGGGAAGAACAAGUAUCGGAGUAACUGCCGGUACCUUGACGGUACCUAACCAGAAAGCCACGGCUAACUACGUGCCAGCAGCCGCGGUAAUACGUAGGUGGCAAGCGUUGUCCGGAAUUAUUGGGCGUAAAGCGCGCGCAGGCGGUCCUUUAAGUCUGAUGUGAAAGCCCACGGCUCAACCGUGGAGGGUCAUUGGAAACUGGGGGACUUGAGUGCAGAAGAGGAGAGUGGAAUUCCACGUGUAGCGGUGAAAUGCGUAGAGAUGUGGAGGAACACCAGUGGCGAAGGCGACUCUCUGGUCUGUAACUGACGCUGAGGCGCGAAAGCGUGGGGAGCGAACAGGAUUAGAUACCCUGGUAGUCCACGCCGUAAACGAUGAGUGCUAAGUGUUAGAGGGUUUCCGCCCUUUAGUGCUGCAGCAAACGCAUUAAGCACUCCGCCUGGGAGACGCCACGCG